rnacentral:rRNA from 1 species
AAUAGAUACCCCGGUAGUCCACGCUGUAAACGUUGGGCGCUAGGUGUGGGGGGCCUCUCCGGUUCCCUGUGCCGCAGCUAACGCAUUAAGCGCCCCGCCUGGGGAGUACGGCCGCAAGGCUAGAACUCAAAGGAAUUGACGGGGGCCCGCACAAGCGGCGGAGCAUGCGGAUUAAUUCGAUGCAACGCGAAGAACCUUACCUGGGUUUGACAUCGCCGGAAAUCCUGCAGAGAUGUGGGGUCCUUCGGGGCCGGUGACAGGUGGUGCAUGGCUGUCGUCAGCUCGUGUCGUGAGAUGUUGGGUUAAGUCCCGCAACGAGCGCAACCCUCGUUCGAUGUUGCCAGCGCGUUAUGGCGGGGACUCAUCGAAGACUGCCGGGGUCAACUCGGAGGAAGGUGGGGAUGACGUCAAGUCAUCAUGCCCCUUAUGUCCAGGGCUUCACGCAUGCUACAAUGGCCGGUACAAUGGGCUGCGAUACCGUGAGGUGGAGCGAAUCCCAAAAAGCCGGUCUCAGUUCGGAUCGGGGUCUGCAAC